UGGCGGACGGGUGAGUAACGCGUGGGUAACCUGCCUCACACUGGGGGACAACAGUUAGAAAUGACUGCUAAUACCGCAUAAGCGCACAGGACCGCAUGGUCCGGUGUGAAAAACUCCGGUGGUGUGAGAUGGACCCGCGUUUGAUUAGCUAGUUGGUGGGGUAACGGCCUACCAAGGCGACGAUCAAUAGCCGACCUGAGAGGGUGACCGGCCACAUUGGGACUGAGACACGGCCCAAACUCCUACGGGAGGCAGCAUG
rnacentral:rRNA from 1 species